rnacentral:rRNA from 1 species
AUACGGAGGAUGCGAGCGUUACCCGGAUUUAUUGGGUUUAAAGGGAGCGUAGGCGGGAGCUUAAGUCAGCGGUUAAAUGGUGCGGCUCAACCGUGCCCUGCCGUUGAAACUGGGUUUCUUGAGAGUGCAAGAGGCGGAUGGAAUUCAUGGUGUAGCGGUGAAAUGCUUAGAUAUCAUGAAGAACUCCGAUUGCGAAGGCAGUCCGCUGGGGCACGUCUGACGCUGAUGCUCGAAGGUGCGGGAAUCAAACAGGAUUAGAUACCCUGGUAGUCCGCACGGUAAACGAUGAUUACCCGCUGUCGGCGGCAGACAGUCGGCGGCCAAGCGAAAGCGAUAAGUAAUCCACCUGGGGAGUACGCCGGCAACGGUGAAACUCAAAUGAAUUGGCGGGG